UGAGGAAUAUUGGUCAAUGGGCGAGAGCCUGAACCAGCCAAGUAGCGUGCAGGAUGACGGCCCUAUGGGUUGUAAACUGCUUUUGUAUGGGGAUAAAGUCAAUCACGUGUGAUUGUUUGCAGGUACCAUACGAAUAAGGACCGGCUAAUUCCGUGCCAGCAGCCGCGGUAAUACGGAAGGUCCGGGCGUUAUCCGGAUUUAUUGGGUUUAAAGGGAGCGUAGGCUGGAGAUUAGGUGUGUUGUGAAAUGUAGACGCUCAACGCCUGACUUGCAGCGCAUACUGGUUUCCUUGAGUACGCACAACGUUGGCGGAAUUCGUCGUGUAGCGGUGAAAUGCUUAGAUAUGACGAAGAACUCCGAUUGCGAAGGCAGCUGACGGGAGCGCAACUGACGCUGAAGCUCGAAGGUGCGGGUAUCGAACAGGAUUAGAUACCCUGGUAGUCCGCACAGUAAACGAUGGAUGCCCGCUGUUGGUACCUGGUAUCAGCGGCUAAGCGAAAGCAUUAAGCAUCCCACCUGGGGAGUACGCCGGCAACGGUG
rnacentral:rRNA from 1 species